rnacentral:rRNA from 1 species
GGUCAAGCGAAUAAGCGCACAUGGUGGAUGCCUUGGCGGUCAGAGGCGAUGAAGGACGUGGUAGCCUGCGAAAAGUGUCGGGGAGCUGGCAACAAGCUUUGAUCCGGCAAUAUCCGAAUGGGGGAACCCACUGUUUAGGCAGUAUCUUUGAGUAAAUUCAUAGCUCAAGGAGGCGAACCUGGUGAACUGAAAUAUCUAAGUAACCAGAGGAAAAGAAAUCAACAGAGAUUCCCUGAGUAGUGACGAGCGAACGGGGAUUAGCCCUUAAGCUAGUAUGGGUUUUAGGAAAGCAAUCUGGGAAGGUUGGGCCAUAGAAGGUGAUAGCCCUGUAUCCGAAAGGGCCGUACUAGUGAAGAUGAGUAGGACGGGGCACGUGAAACCUUGUCUGAAUAUGGGGGGUCCAUCCUCCAAGGCUAAAUACUCCUGACCGACCGAUAGUGAACUAGUACCGUGAGGGAAAGGCGAAAAGAACC